UACGGAAGAUGCGAGCGUUAUCCGGAUUCAUUGGGUUUAAAGGGAGCGUAGGCGGGCUGUUAAGCCGGCGGUGAAAUGUCAGGGCCCAACCCUGGCCUGCCGUCGGAACUGGCGGUCUUGAAUGCACACAAGGAAGGUGGAAUUCGUCGUGUAGCGGUGAAAUGCUUAGAUAUGACGAGGAACUCCGAUUGCGAAGGCAUCCUUCUGGGGUGCGAUUGACGCUGAGGCUCGAAAGCGCGGGUAUC
rnacentral:rRNA from 1 species